GUUACCAAACGGACUCUCGAGAAUCUCCCACCAUAUGCUGACUACUCUUCGUUUCUCCAUUUUAAGAGGAAUCCCCUCGAAGAGCUCGCCUGAGCUGUCUCUGCAAUCCAUGGCCGACGCCCCUCGUCGCACCUUCCUCGUCACCAGAGCCGGUGGCAGAAUAUACUUAUUUUUUCCGAUCUCUCUCUCAUCGGCGAGUUUGCUCUCGCUCCCGUGCUCCCUCGUGGUCUUUCAAUCUAUGCAUUGGUGUAUGUGAAUGGGCUCUGCAGCUCGUAGAAUGAAAAUCCGGAGUAGGAGAAGGCGAUGCCGGUCGGGAAAAGGCCGAUCGAUCCGUCAUCCCCUUUCUUUCUGAGCCCUUCGGACAGUCUUGGGCCACAAUUGUUCCGGCCAUAAUUAACAGGGACAAUUACUCGACUUGGACGAAAGUGAUCAAGCGAGCUCUUAGUGCAAAGAACAAAAUCGGAUUCUUCGAUGGUUCGUUGGAGAAGCCAGAUGAGUCGUCGGACAGCUAUCACACCUAGGACAUGUGCAAUAACAUGGUGGUGGCAUGGAUAUAUAAUUCUCUGGACAAGGGUCCCCAAGGGAGUCUCGCCUAUAUCGAUGAUGCCUGUGAGAUGUUGAACGAGCUCAUAGGGAAACGCUCAAAGGAUUUACCAGUUGAAGAAAGAAAUCAGCCACCUUGAGCAAGAAAGCGAGCCUGUUGUGUCGUUAAAUACUGCACCAAAUUGAAAGCUUUGUAGGAUGAACUUGAGGAAUACUCCAAGGCUUCGCGGUGCACAUGCAGGGCUUCGGUCAAGAUAGCAAAGGAGGGGGUUGAGAAGUUGUCCCAAUUUCUCAUGGGAUUAGAUGCAGAUAUAUAUGGUACAGUGCAUUCACAAGGUCUCAACACCGAACCUCUUCCUAAUGUAAGCAAUGCAUUUUCAUGGCUAGCCAAAAGGAGUAGAGGGAGAUGGCUCCAAGAAGAGAUGAUCAAGUAGAGGCUGCAGCAUUCAUAACCGGUCCAAAUACUGGUAGGAAAUAUGGGGAAAAACCCCAUUGUGAUCACUGCCAGAAAACGGGCCAUUGGAGGAGUACGUGCUGGCAAUUACAUGGGUAUCCGACUGAUUGGGACCCGAAGAAGCAGAACCUGAAAUUUAACCCAAUUGGCUGGGGGUCAGGGGGAGCUUCGGGAGCACAGACAGUCCAAAAUCCGCAGCUAGCUCAAUCAGCUUAGAAGCAUAAGCAAGCCUGGCAGUGGACUGAGCCGAAGCUACAAAUGUUAGGGCCGGCUACUUGUCAACCACAAGUUGCAGGGGCAGCCCUGAUAAAUGGCCCGCUCGCCAUGGCUGGAGCUCCGUCAACAAUUCCAGGUCUAACGAACGAACAAUAUCAGGAGCUGCUAAAUUUUGUUAGUAAAAUGACAGGACCUGAUAAUAAGCUUUCAGGUAUGGAAUCGAUUUCUCGUAAUGUAGAGUGGAUUCUCGAUUCAGGAGCAUCCUCACACAUGACAGGGAGUGUCCAAGUGCUCUAGAGGAUGUACAAGGCAAUUAAAUAAGCCAUUUUCAAUCGCACUUCCCGAUGGAGAUGUAGUAUUGGUGGAAUCGGAGGGAUAAGCCUGGUUUGGCAGUGGCAUUGUUCUGCGAAAUGUUUUUUUUUUAUAUAUAUCCCGGCUUUACAUAUAAUUUAAUCUCUAUUGGAAGGCUCACGAGAGAUUUAUAGUGUUGUGUCACAAUUUUGCCGGAAUUUUGUCUUGUGUAGGACCUCACCUCAAAGAUGUUGAUUGGAGCGGGUGAAUUGGUUUAUUUAUUUAUUUAUUUUUCUUUUGGGUUGGUUUUAGGUGA